rnacentral:lncRNA from 1 species
GCCCGCAGCACUGUGGGCCCAGGUGUCACUUGCGAGGCCGUCUCUAGGCUGCUCAUGUCCUUGCUGUGGACCCGGCGGGGGCCUGAGCUGGGCACCUGGUCCCAACACCCACACCCUUCGGAAGGUGGUCCAGAGGGCCUCUGCCUCUUCCUAGAGGCCAUCCCUUCCCUGAGUGCUGUGCAGAGGAGGCCGGCAGGAGCCGUGCGUGCCAGCCGAGCGGGGCCAAGCUGGGUGUGAGGACAGCCGUGGCUGUGUCUCUUCCCUGCCCGACCACGCCCUGCUGUCCACAGAGGCCUUGAGCUCUCAGUUGGCCUGGCAGGCGCGCCCUGGGGGUUCAGAGCUCCCGCCGACACGAUUGUGAGGUUACUAGGUAAACUCUGAGGAGCAAAUCUUUUAAUCCACUGUGGCUAAUCCAGUGCACUUUUGUUUGCCACGACAGACGCUGCGGCAACAAAGGGGCCGGGGGCCCGGCACACACAAUCACACCCUCAGAAUUCGGCUGCGGCCUCGGGGUUCCUAGGCAGCCGAGAGAGACAUCUCAGGACAGCCGAGCAGAGGGAGGCGGUGGAGGGCACAGGGCAGGUACCCCGAGGAGCUGGAGGCCCAAGGGCCUUGUUCUGGUCCCAGGGCUUGGGGACCCCCGCCACCGAGGGCCAAGAGGAGGAUGGACACGGACACAGCCCCGAGAGCCUGGCCCAGCCACAGCGGCAGCUCCGCAGAACCAAGGCAAGCGCUGGGGGCCCGUGUUGGGAGUUGGGGGGAGCCCAUGGGCCAGUUUCUGAGGUCCUGCUGUCUGGCUGGCAACUCAGGACUCCCUCAUCACUGGAAACUCUGCUGUGCCAUGGAGGCCACCCACUCUGUCUCCUCUAAG